rnacentral:rRNA from 1 species
AUUGAACGCUGGCGGCAUGCUUUACACAUGCAAGUCGAACGGUAACAGGCCGCAAGGUGCUGACGAGUGGCGAACGGGUGAGUAAUGCAUCGGAACGUGCCCAGUCGUGGGGGAUAACGCAGCGAAAGCUGGGCUAAUACCGCAUACGAUCUAUGGAUGAAAGCGGGGGACCGUAAGGCCUCGCGCGAUUGGAGCGGCCGUUGUCAGAUUAGGUAGUUGGUGGGGUAAAGGCUCACCAAGCCAACGAUCUGUAGCUGGUCUGAGAGGACGGCCAGCCACACUGGGACUGAGACACGGCCCAGACUCCUACGGGAGGCAGCAGUGGGGAAUUUUGGACAAUGGGCGCAAGCCUGAUCCAGCAAUGCCGCGUGCAGGAAGAAGGCCUUCGGGUUGCAAACUGCUUUUGUACGGAACGAAACGGUCCUGGUUAAUACCCGGGGCUAAUGACGGUACCGUAAGAAUAAGCACCGGCUAACUACGUGCCAGCAGCCGCAGUAAUAC